CCUACGGGUGGCAGCAGUGGGGGAUAUUGGACAAUGGGGGGAACCCUGAUCCAGCGACGCCGCGUGAGUGAAGAAGUAUUUCGGUAUGUACAGCUCUGUCAGCAGGGAAGAAAGAAAUGACGGUACCUGACCAAGAAGCCCCGGCUAACUACGUGCCAGCAGCCGCGGUAAUACGUAGGGGGCAAGCGUUAUCCGGAAUUACUGGGUGUAAAGGGAGCGUAGACGGUUAAGUAAGUCUGGAGUGAAAGGCCGGGGCUCAACCCCGGGACUGCUCUGGAAACUAUUUAACUUGAGUGCAGGAGAGGUAAGCGGAAUUCCUAGUGUAGCGGUGAAAUGCGUAGAUAUUAGGAGGAACACCAGUGGCGAAGGCGGCUUACUGGACUGUAACUGACGUUGAGGCUCGAAAGCGUGGGGAGCAAACAGGAUUAGAGACCCCGGUAGUC
rnacentral:rRNA from 1 species